rnacentral:rRNA from 1 species
AGCGAACGCUGGCGGCAGGCCUAACACAUGCAAGUCGAACGAACUCUUCGGAGUUAGUGGCGGACGGGUGAGUAACACGUGGGAACGUGCCUUUUGGUUCGGAAUAACUCAGGGAAACUUGUGCUAAUACCGAAUGUGCCCUUCGGGGGAAAGAUUUAUCGCCAUUAGAGCGGCCCGCGUCUGAUUAGCUAGUUGGUGAGGUAACGGCUCACCAAGGCGACGAUCAGUAGCUGGUCUGAGAGGAUGACCAGCCACACUGGGACUGAGACACGGCCCAGACUCCUACGGGAGGCAGCAGUGGGGAAUCUUGCGCAAUGGGCGAAAGACUGACGCAGCCAUGCCGCGUGAAUGAUGAAGGUCUUAGGAUUGUAAAAUUCUUUCACCGGGGACGAUAAUGACGGUACCCGGAGAAGAAGCCCCGGCUAACUUCGUG